GAUGAACGCUGGCGGCGUGCCUAACACAUGCAAGUCGAGCGAACGGACGAGAAGCUUGCUUCUCUGAUGUUAGCGGCGGACGGGAGAGUAACACGUGGAUAACCUACCUAUAAGACUGGGAUAAUUUCGAGAAACCGUAGAUAAUACCGGAUAAUAUUUUGAACCGCAUGGUUCAAAAGUGAAAGACGGUCUUGCUGUCACUUAUAGAUGGAUCCGCGCUGCAUUAGCUAGUUGGUAAGGUAACGGCGUACCAAGGCAACGAUGCAUAGCCGACCUGUGAGGGUGGUCGGCCACACGAGAACUGAAACAAGGUCCAGACUCCUACGGGAGGCAGCAGUAGGGAAUCUUCCGCAAUGGGGGAGAGCCUGACGGAGCAACGCCGCGUGAGUGAUGAAGGUCUUCGGAUCGGAAAACUCUGUUAUUAGGGAAGAACAUAUGUGUAAUUUACUGUACAGAUCUUGACGGUACCUAGUCAGAAAGCCACGGCUAACUACGUG
rnacentral:rRNA from 1 species